CAGCAGCCACGGUAAAACGAAGGGGGCUAGCGUUGUUCGGAUUUACUGGGCGUAAAGCGCACGUAGGCGGAUCGAUCAGUCAGGGGUGAAAUCCCAGAGCUCAACUCUGGAACUGCCUUUGAUACUGUCGAUCUGGAGUAUGGAAGAGGUGAGUGGAAUUCCGAAUGUAGAGGUGAAAUUCGUAGAUAUUCGGAGGAACACCAGUGGCGAAGGCGGCUCACUGGUCCAUUACUGACGCUGAGGUGCGAAAGCGUGGGGAGCAAACAGGAUUAGAUACCCCAGUAGUCCCUGUCUCUUAUAC
rnacentral:rRNA from 1 species